rnacentral:rRNA from 1 species
AACGAACGCUGGCGGCAGGCUUAACACAUGCAAGUCGAACGCUCGUAGCAAUACGGGAGUGGCGGACGGGUGAGUAACGCGUGGGAACGUGCCCUGAGGUACGGAAUAACUGAGGGAAACUUCAGCUAAUACCGUAUGAGCCCCGAGAGGGGGGAAAGAUUUAUCGCCUUGGGAGCGGCCCGCGUCGGAUUAGCUAGUUGGUGGGGUAACGGCCUACCAAGGCUUCGAUCCGUAGCUGGUCUGAGAGGACGAUCAGCCACACUGGGACUGAGACACGGCCCAGACUCCUACGGGAGGCAGCAGUGGGGAAUCUUGCGCAAUGGGGGCAACCCUGACGCAGCCAUGCCGCGUGAACGAUGAAGGCCUUAGGGUUGUAAAGUUCUUUUACCCGUGACGAUGAUGACGGUAACGGGGGAAUAAGCUCCGGCUAACUUCGUGCCAGCAGCCGCGGUAAU